CAUGCAUGUGUGUGUGUGUGUGUGUGUGUAUGUGUGUAUGUGCAUGAUCGUGCGACAGUGAGAGAGCUGUGAGAGUUCCCGAGGAAGGAACAAAGAGAGUGGAGAAAAGAAAGACUGAUCGCGCGACGCGGCGCGGCGCGGCGGCUUAGAAGGCAGCCAAGGGUGGCGCAGCCAAAGCGCGGGAGAACGGCGCCGAGACUGCCGAGAGAAGUGGUAGCGGACGCUUACGUGAACGGAACCUGGGGUGUUAAGGAGAAUAGCCCCGCGUCAACACGGGCGACGCGGCGCGCGGCGGCCGGACACGAACGCGUCGACCGCGUCGACGGGCCUGUCCCCCGAGGAAGGGACCGUCGCGCGCAACGCGAUCAAUUUUUGUUGCGGCGCGCGGGCGGCUUAGACUGUAGUAGAACGAACGCGAGACGAAAUGACGAGGCAACCGAAGUACCGAUAACCGGCCGGAUAAUGUUGUCGCAGAGCAAGUUUUACGCUCUCUUCAUCCACUACACGUUCGUGUAGCGUGACACGGGGCGGGUCCUUGCCGCUGCGGUGAAGAAUAGAGGAGAAGGAGAAGGAGGUAAAAGAGAAGGAGAAAUAGGAGGAGAAGGAAGAAGCAAAAGAAGAAGAAGAAGAAGAACACGAGGGAAAGAUUCUAUCACAGUGAGAGAGAAUAGAAAGGAAAGUAAAGCGAGAGAUAGAAGAGAAGGGAAAAUCAUUCGAAACUAAAGAGAUAACGCCUCGUACCAAGCCGUCGUGCGUGGUCGCCAUCGUCGCCCGAAGGUUGAAGAAAAAGAAGCAAGAAAAAGGAAUAAGUAAGACGGAAUUCGUGACGUAACCGAAGGAACGGAGAGGGGCCGUACACGCGUGUAUACACGGCGGCACGCGUAUAUGCACGCAGGUGGAGGGACAUCGCGCGAGGCGGAAUUUUAGCGCCACACGUCUCUCGUCGGUCGUUCUUCUUCUGCAUCGUCAGUGUGAAAGUGUAUAUCUUAAGUGUGUCGUCUCACGGUGCUCGGUUGUGCUACCCUUACAUCUCGAGCAAGGCCCGCGGAGGUAUCCCAGAACCCGCCCCCGCCCCCGCGCCCUCCCUCUCUCUCCGCUCUCAACGUCGCAGUGCCUCUCUUCUCUCCAUAUCGCUACGUUGCGCUUCUCUUUUACGUUCCCAGCGGUGACUAUCUACGCUGGAGAGUGUUCGAUCUCCUUAACCAUAAAAAUCGACCGACUCGAAGAUUAGACUAUGUUAUUUCGGAUAACGGAUUGAUCGCACCCGUCGCUUCAUUUACACGUCGGACAUGAAAAAUCUUGGUUCGCGUUGGACGGUCCCCGACAUAGCACGCACUGCCGCAGCGCGUUCGUCAUUUCUCGUCGCCAUUUCGUUGGAACGAGAUUCAGGUAGCAGCAGC